UACGGGGGGGGCAAGCGUUGUUCGGAAUUACUGGGCGUAAAGGGCUCGUAGGUGGCCAACUAAGUCAUACGUGAAAUCCCUCGGCUUAACCGGGGAACUGCGUCUGAUACUGGAUGGCUUGAGGUUGGGAGAGGGAUGCGGAAUUCCAGGUGUAGCGGUGAAAUGCGUAGAUAUCUGGAGGAACACCGGUGGCGAAGGCGGCAUCCUGGACCAAUUCUGACACUGAGGAGCGAAAGCAUGGGGAGCGAACAGG
rnacentral:rRNA from 1 species